UACAGAGGGUGCGAGCGUUAAUCGGAAUUACUGGGCGUAAAGGGCGUGUAGGCGGAUAAUUAAGUCAGAUGUGAAAUACCCGGGCUUAACCUGGGGGAGUCAUUUGAUACUGGUUAUCUAGAGUAUGGAAGGGGAGAGUGGAAUUUCCGGUGUAGCGGUGAAAUGCGUAGAUAUCGGAAGGAACACCAGUGGCGAAGGCGACUCUCUGGUCCAAUACUGACGCUGAGGCGCGAGAGCGUGGGGAGCGAACAGG
rnacentral:rRNA from 1 species